UUCGCUUACGUACUUUCAUAAAUACCAAUUCCCUUCUCUCUCGUAUGAAGAUUUUUUCAAUCGUUCCCUCUAGUUUGAAGAUUCUUUCAACCGUUACAUUAGUUAACAGUGUUAAACUAAUUUGUAAAAAGACCGAUCUACCUUGUGGCAUCUACCUAUAUUUCCUUCUCUUUUCAUCACCAUCGCAUCUCUCUGGUAUGAAACGUCACUCACCCAUAGAAGAAAGCUCGCCCAACUCUCAAGCUUUCAAGCUCUCAAGCAGGCUUCUCCUCCUUCGUAGCCUUGCCGGAGAAAUCGCAGGUGAAGCACAUCGAGCCGAUGGUGGUUCUCAUACAAAGAAACACAGGAGCAUCGAAUCAUCUGGGAAGACAUUCUAUUUGAACCGCCUUGAAAUUAUGAACCACAGUACACCGGAUCAGCACGCUUUGGUUUCUUUGCCAAAGCUUCUUCAUCCUAUUGGGAAAAAAAUCGUCUGCAAUUCCGAAGCCUUCCACGCAUAUCCAUUGCGACAUUUACGACUGAUAUUUCCCGAUACAUCAAGUUCUGUACCUUUUUGUGAAUGUUUAUGAAGCUGCUACAUUUCUUGCACUUUGGGGUAACAAAGAGUCUAACCCAUCAAUAUUAGGCUGCUACCUUUUUCUUUUUUCUAGCAGCAGUGAUGCUGACAUUAGGGUAAUAUUGUGGUCAGGGAGAUGGUUCGAGUCCUAAUAUGGAACUAAAGAUCCCAUCUUGUGUUGUUGCAGUA